rnacentral:rRNA from 1 species
UACGAAGGGGGCUAGCGUUGUUCGGAUUUACUGGGCGUAAAGCGCACGUAGGCGGAUUGGUCAGUUAGGGGUGAAAUCCCAGAGCUCAACUCUGGAACUGCCCUUAAUACUGCCAGUCUAGAGUCCGGAAGAGGUAAGUGGAACUCCUAGUGUAGAGGUGGAAUUCGUAGAUAUUAGGAAGAACACCAGUGGCGAAGGCGGCUUACUGGUCCGGUACUGACGCUGAGGUGCGAAAGCGUGGGGAGCGAACAGG